CUUGAGACAGGCAGAGCAGGCAGACGGGAGGAGCCCAGUCGGCGGCGACGUCGCAGGGAGACGAAGCGGAAGUCCUCCUGCCUCGGGCCCUCCCUGGGUGUGCCGAGUACAUUUCCUCUUGGUUUAAAGAGCGAGUAACUGGAAGCCGAAAGAAUCCUAACAAUGUGAUUAUCUAUGUAGAAGAUCCCAAAGAAUCUACAAAUAUGUGACCAGAACUAAGAAGGAAGCAAGGUUGCAGAAUACAAGGAUAUAAUACACAUUUAUUGUUUAAAAAAUUGGAAAAUACAGAAAAGCACGGAGAAGAAAAUAAAAUUCAUCAGUAGUAACCCCACCGAAAAAAGAGGGAACAGCAUCACUUCACCUCGGCAGGCUCUCAGGUUCUGACAGUAAGCAGUUCGC